rnacentral:rRNA from 1 species
UGGGGAAUAUUGCACAAUGGGGGAAACCCUGAUGCAGCGACGCCGCGUGAGCGAAGAAGGUUUUCGAAUCGUAAAGCUCUGUCCUAUGAGAAGAUAAUGACGGUAUCAUAGGAGGAAGCCCCGGCUAAAUACGUGCCAGCAGCCGCGGUAAUACGUAUGGGGCGAGCGUUGUCCGGAAUUAUUGGGCGUAAAGGGUACGUAGGCGGUCUAUUAAGUCAGGUGUGAAAGCGUGAGGCUUAACCUCAUUAAGCACUUGAAACUGAUAGACUUGAGUGAAGGAGAGGAAAGUGGAAUUCCUAGUGUAGCGGUGAAAUGCGUAGAUAUUAGGAGGAAUACCGGUGGCGAAGGCGACUUUCUGGCCAUAUACUGACGCUGAGGUACGAAAGCGUGGGUAGCAAACAGG